rnacentral:rRNA from 1 species
UACAGAGGGUGCGAGCGUUAAUCGGAAUUACUGGGCGUAAAGCGUGCGUAGACGGCUAUCUAAGUCGGGUGUGAAAGCCCCGGGCUCAACCUGGGAAUUGCAUUCGAGACUGAAUAGCUAGGGUACGGUAGAGGGAAGCGGAAUUUCCGGUGUAGCGGUGAAAUGCGUAGAUAUCGGAAGGAACGUCAGUGGCGAAAGCGGCUUCCUGGACCAGUACCGACGUUCAGGCACGAAAGCGUGGGGAGCAAACAGG